rnacentral:rRNA from 1 species
AGUGAACGCUGGCGGUAGGCCUAACACAUGCAAGUCGAACGGCAGCACAGGAGAGCUUGCUCUCUGGGUGGCGAGUGGCGGACGGGUGAGGAAUACAUCGGAAUCUACUCUGUCGUGGGGGAUAACGUAGGGAAACUUACGCUAAUACCGCAUACGACCUACGGGUGAAAGCAGGGGAUCUUCGGACCUUGCGCGAUUGAAUGAGCCGAUGUCGGAUUAGCUAGUUGGCGGGGUAAAGGCCCACCAAGGCGACGAUCCGUAGCUGGUCUGAGAGGAUCAUCAGCCACACUGGUACUGGGACACGGUCCAGACUCCUACAGGAUGCAACAGUGGGGAAUAUUGGACAAUGGGCGCAAGCCUGAUCCAGCCAUACCGCGUGGGUGAAGAAGGCCUUCGGGUUGCAAAGCCCUUUUGUUGGGAAAGAAAUCCAGCCGGUUAAUACCUGGUUGGGAUGACGGUACCCAACGAAUAAGCACCGGCUAACUUCGUGCCAGCAGCCGCUGUAA